rnacentral:rRNA from 1 species
GACGAACGCUGGCGGCGUGCCUAACACAUGCAAGUCGAGCGGAAGUAAUGCGCGGAAGUUUUCGGAUGGAAGGGUAUUACUUUAGCGGCGGACGGGUGAGUAACGCGUGAGCAACCUGCCUUUCACAGGGGGAUAACGCACCGAAAGGUGCACUAAUACCGCAUGAGACCACGGAGCUGCAUGGCUCAGGGGUCAAAGGAGCAAUCCGGUGAAAGAUGGGCUCGCGUCCGAUUAGAUAGUUGGUGAGGUAAUGGCUCACCAAGUCGACGAUCAGUAGCCGGCCUGAGAGGGUGACCGGCCACACUGGGACUGAGACACGGCCCAGACUCCUACGGGAGGCAGCAGUGGGGAAUCUUCCGCAAUGGGCGAAAGCCUGAUGCAGCGACGCCGCGUGAGGGAUGAAGGCCUCGGUUGUAACGUACUUCUAGCAGGAAGAAGACGAAGUAGACGGUACCGUGCAGAAGAAGACACCGGCUAACUACGUGCCAGCACG